UGCUUCUGGCUGCUAAGUGUAAAUUAUGUAAUGUAAUGUAUGUAUGUAUGUAUAUAUGUAUGUAUGUAUGUAUGUAUGUAUGUAUGUAUAUAUGUAUUUUGGCUGGUUCAUGGUCUGUCCAUGGGGGAGUAUAAUGAAAGACUCUUAAAGCGUGAGUUCCCAAGGACACUGUGACAGAGAAUUUUGUUUUCUAAAGUUUGAGUUUUUAUUGGCUCAUAUUCUUUAUGGUACUGGGUUUCAUAGGAAUGCUUUCCAUACAACUAUGGAAUAUACUUAGAACAUAUUUUCUCUAUAUUAACCCCUCCCACUUCCAGUUACUCCCUUUUGUCUCUAGAAAAUCUUGCUUUUAUCUUCAUGUCAUAUAUACAUACACAGUUUUAUGUGUCUAUUUUUUUGUUUGUUUGCUUGUUUUGAGACAGGGCUUUACAUAGCCCUGGCUAUACUAGAACUUUUAUCAACCAGGUUAGCCUUGAACUCACAGAAAUGUGUCUUUGUUUACCUCCCAAGUGCUGGAAUUAAAGGUGCCUGACACCAUGUCCAGCUCACAUGUCUUUUUAUUAUUAUCAGUUUUUGUUUUUUUUUUUUUUUCAUUUUGGUUUUUCAAGACAGGGUUUCACUGUGUAUCCCUGGCUGUCCUGGACCAGCUGGCCUCAUACUCAGAGAUCUACCUGCCUCUGCCUCCCAAGUGCUGAGGUUAAAAGCGUGUGCCACCAUGGGCCAAUGUGUCUAAUUUUUUUGAGGGGGGAGGUAGCACACAUGUAAACGUGUGUGUGGAUGCCAUCAGAGCUGAAGUUGCAGGCAUUUGUGGACAGAGUACCAUGUGGAUGCUGAAAAUCAAACUCUGGUCCUUUGAAAGAGCAUCAACUUUUGAGAUAUCUUUCCAGCCCUUAGUUUAUGCAUCUAUAUAAAAAUCUAUAAUAUAUAAAUAAGAGAAAACAUGACAUAUUUGUAUUUGAGACUGACUCCAUGCACUUAAUAUUAUAAUCUCCGGUUGAAUCCAUUUUUCUACAAAUGACAGAAUUUUGUUCUUUAUAGCUGAAUAAAAUUGUGUGUAUGUGUGUGUGUUCAUAUGUGUAGUGUAUCCCACUUUCUUUGGUUAUUAUUUUAUUUGGUUAUUUUGUUGUUGAAGGAUCACUAGGUUGGUUCUGUCACUUGUAUUCUGAAUAGUGCUGCAGCAAACAUGGAUGCACAAAUGCCUGCCUGUGUGGCACAUUGACUUUGAGCCCUGCACCAGAAGUGAUAUGGUGACUCUUGUAAUGGUAGACAAAUUUUUAGUCUAUUGAAGUGCCUAAACUGAUUUUCUUAGAGGCUGGACUAGUUUAUAUUUUACUUUUUUUAUUUUUAAAAAAAGGAUUUAUGUGUGUGCAUGUUUUACCUGUGUGUAUGCGAAUCAUGUGUGCGCCUGGUUCCUACUGAAGUCAGAAGAGGGCAUUGGAUCUCUGGAACUGGAGUUAUGGAUGCUUGUAGCUUACAAUCAUCUGACCUGGAUCCUCUGCAAGAGCAACAAGUGCUCUUAGCUGAGCCAUCUCUCUAGCCCCAGGGGUUUACUUUUUGUAAGAGAGCGUUUAUUAGCAGAAAGAAGGUUCUGAUCUAUACGAUAUUGGUAGGGAUUGGAAGCAAGUGAAAUUUAUCCACUACUGUUUAGACUGUUUAAUCACUUUAGAAAACGAUUUGUCGCCGGGCAGUGGCGCACGCCUUUAAUCCCAGCACUUGGGAGGCAGAGGCAGGCAGAUUACUGAGUUUGAGGCCAGCCAGGGCUACACAGAAGAAGCCCUGAAAAACC
rnacentral:lncRNA from 1 species